GGUAAAGCCUCUGGUCCUGAUAAAUAGUAUAUGAAGUCAUUAAAUACAGUAGUCCAGUUACAUUAAAAUCUUAUGUUAAACUUUUUAAUCUUAUUUUAAAAACUGGUCAUUAUCCCAAACACUGGAAUUCAUCUUUUAUUAUAUUAAUAUUAAAAUCUGGAGAUAAAUGCCAUCCUGGCAACUACAGAGGUAUUUCUUUAAUCAACUGUCUGUAUAAAAUAUUUAGUAGUGUUCUGAAUAAUAGACUAAAAAUAUUUAUGAUAAAUAAAUUUUCUGCCUCUCAGUUUGAUUUCAGGGAAAACCAUAGGAUAUCCGACAGUUUGUUUAUAUUGAAAACUUUGAUCAAUGAAUAUCUGCAUAAAAAUAAUAAAAAUAUAUAUGCAUGUUUUUGUGGACUUAAAAGGAGCAUUUGACUCUGUUUGGAGAGAUUGUCUUGUGUUCAAAUUGGCUAAAUUAGGGGUUGGCAAAAAUUUAUACCAAGUAAUAAAAAAACAGUUUUCAGGCACAGAAUCUUCACUUAAAUUUGAUAAUGCCUCAACUCCAUUUUUUAAUACGACUGCAAAUUUUUUUUUCGUAGGAUAAUACAAUCAUGUCGUCUGCGUCGUCGUCCAAAGAUGCAUUUAGUGUCAGGACAAUAACUUUAGUUUUAGUGAAUGGAUCUCUAUAAAUUUUUACAAGAAGGUUCAAUACCACUAAAGGAGGGUUGGGAUUGAUUUUGGGGGUUAUGGUCCCAAUAGUUUAGGAAUUAGGGGCCAAAAAUAAGCAUUUUUGUAGUUUUCAAACAAUAACUUAUGUUUAAGUGUAUGAAUCUCUCUGAAAUUAUACCACAAGUUUUCAUACCGUGAAGGGAUGAUUAGUAUUGACUUUGGGGGGUUAUGGCUUGAAAUGUUUUGGAAUUAGGGGCAAAAAAAGGGGAAAAACUAGGUUUUAUCUGGUCAAUGGACAUUUAAGACAAUUUAAAAGCAGUGAAAGAGAGGUAAUUCAAAAACAUUUAUCAUACAAUGUUUGGUAUGAUUGGAUUCACCUCCCUUACACUUCUUGUAAAUUAUAUAUAAAGAAAUAUCAGGAUUUGGACUAAUUGCAAAAAAGGGGUAGUAGUUUUCACUUUAAUUUUUUUUAAAUUUUAUUGUUUGAAGAAGAAACCUUUAAUUGCACAAUAUUGCACAAUAUAUUUAUAAGAUCUUGACAUUUGUUUUGUGUCAGAAACACAUAUUAUGUCAAAAAUUUUAUCAGAAUCAAAAUUCAGAGCUGUAUCAAGCUUCAAUGUUGUGUCCAUACUUACCCCAACCUCUGCGGUCGUAUAAAGCUGCAUGCACCUUGCGGAGCACCUGGUUUAAAAACAGAGAGAAUGCCAAGGCGACACAAUCAGUCCUACAUUGUUUAACAUUGUUUAACAUUU
rnacentral:lncRNA from 1 species